GUAGGGAAUCUUCCACAAUGGGCGAAAGCCUGAUGGAGCAACGCCGCGUGUGUGAUGAAGGGUUUCGGCUCGUAAACACUGUUGUAAGAGAAGAAUGACAUUGAGAGUAACUGUUCAAUGUGUGACGGUAUCUUACCGGAAAGGAACGGCUAAAUACGUGCCAC
rnacentral:rRNA from 1 species